GAUGAAGAACGUAGCGAAAUGCGAUACGUAAUGUGAAUUGCAGAAUUCAGUGAAUCAUCGAGUCUUUGAACGCACAUUGCGCCCCCUGGUAUUCCGGGGGGCAUGCCUGUCCGAGCGUCAUUGCUGCCCUCAAGCACGGCUUGUGUGUUGGGCCUCCGUCCUCCUCCCGGGGGACGGGCCCGAAAGGCAGCGGCGGCACCGCGUCCGGUCCUCGAGCGUAUGGGGCUUCGUCACCAGCUCUUGUAGGCCCGGCCGGCGCUUGCCGACACAUCAAUCUUUUUUCCAGGUUGACCUCGGAUCAGGUAGGGAUACCCGCUGAACUUAAGCAUAUCAAUAAGCGGAGGA
rnacentral:misc_RNA from 1 species